ACAAGGUAGGGUAUCACAAAAGGGUUGUUUAGGGUGGGGAGGAGUAGGCUGGCAGUAGAAUGGUGGGCAGGUGGGGGAUAGUAGGAAUGGGGAGUAGCCUGCUGCAGAGGCAAAGCCUCAUGGAAAACCUCUACUAGGGUAGUGCACCUGUGGCUUUGCAGGGUUGAGCCCCUGCAGCUGCUUUCAUGGGCUGGGUUGGUGUUGAGGUUUGGAAAAGCCUGUAGCUUUUCCACAGAGGGUGUGAGCUGCUGGUGAGUCUAUGAAUCUGGGGUCUGGAUGGUGGUGGCCCUCUGCGUGGGGGCUCCAAGCCCACUUUUUCCUUCCACACAGCACUAGUAGAGGUUUUCCAAGAGGUUCUGCCUCUGCAGCAGGCUUCUGUUUGGAAACAGUGGGAGGUGGGGGUGGGUGGUUGUUUCUUCAUCAAUAUUUAAGCACCAUCUUCAUAAUGCUGACCUUGUAAUAGUGAGUUCUCAUAAGAUUUGGUUGUAUAAUAGGGUAUAGUCCUCUUUCCUCUCUGUCUUGCACCUACUCCUGCCACAUGAAUCAUCUCAUUGCCCCUGGACAUUCUGGCAUGAUUGGGAGGCUUCCUGAGUCCUCCCAGAUUCAGAAGCCACUGUGUUUCCUUACAGCCUGCAGAAUCAUGAGCCAAUUAAACCUCUUUUCUUUAUGAUCAUAGAGAAAAUUAGUGGUGCAAAGUGGAACUAUUAAAUGUCAUUGUCUUGGCAAUCAGCACUCAGCUUCUUUUCAUUCAAGUAUGUGAAGGCUUCAUGAAUUUUCCCCCUGAAAAUGGACUUGUCUUCCUUUACCACAUUGCCAGGCUGUGGCAAAGAUAGUGAUAAUGUAGAAGCAGGUUCAGAAGGGAGUAGCGGACAGAGGUCGGGAGAGUUUGGAGGGCUUCAAAGACAAGAAGAUGAAUGAAAGUUUGGAUCUUUGUAAAGAAUUGUUAAACACUUGUGAUCAGAAGGCUCACAGGAAAAUGGUCAGUGAAAACCCGACUUAGAAGGUCUCAGAUGAAAAUGAAGCACUUACUGGGAACAGAAGUCAAAGUUACUUUUGUUUCCUUAGCAAAGAACGUGGCUGCAUGGUGACUCGCCCUGGAGAUCUCUGAAACUUUGAACUUGAGGGUGAUGAUUUACUGAGUAUCUGGUGGAAUGAACUGGGCAGCAAAGCUCAAGAGGUGUCCUGUCUCCAUCGAACAGCCUGUGCUCUUAUGUGUGAUAGAGGAAAUGACCUCUGGGUGGGACUUACAUUAAAUGAGUCCCAACCCUUAUAUUAAAUGAGAAACAGAAGUCAAAAGUUUGGCAAAUUUGCAGCCCGGACAUGUGGUCAAAAAGAAAAGCUGAUUUUCAGGGGGAAAAUUGAGGAAGGCUUCAGAAACUUGCUUGAAAAGGAGUCCAGUGCUAAUAGACAAGACAAUAGGGAAAAGGCCUUGAAGGCAUUUCAGAGACCUUUCCAGCAGCCCUUGCUGUUAGAGGGAAUGACUGGCCUUCUGGGUUUGGAGUUUCAUGGGGCCGGUAAGUCCUAUCUGUGUUUUGUUGUUUUCUGGCAACAUUCUUCCUUUUGGCUGGGAAUGUUUACCCAAUGUGUGUACAAGCAUUGUACCUUUGCUCUGUGAGAAGGUCAUGAGUCUGUGGGGAUCAGGGUCAGAAUAAUAUGAUUUGGCUGUGUUUCUUUACCAAAACUCGUGUGAAUUGUAAUCCUUAGUGUUGGAGGUGGGGCCUGGCUGGAGGUGAUUUAAUCAUGGAUGGGAGGGGGCCGGAGGUGGAAGGAAAAGGGGGGUAGGGUGAGGAGUAGAUUGUUAGUAGGGUGGUGAGAGGGUGGUGGGUAGCAGGAAGGGGGAGUAGCCUGCUGCAGAGGCAGAGGCUCAUGGAAAAAUUAAAAGAGUGACUGAAGGAUGGACAGUGAAGGCCAGGCUUAGAAGGUCUCAGAUGAAAAUGAGCAACUUACUGGGAACAGGAGUCAAGGUUACUUUUGUUUUGCCUUAGCAAAGAACUUGGCUGGAUGGUGUCCCUGCCCUGGAGACCUCUGAAACUUUGAACUUGGGGGUGAUGAUUUAGGGUAUAUCUGGUGAAAUGAAGUAGGCAGCAAAGCUCAAGAGGUGUUUUGUCUGUUUUGAACAGCCUGUGGUCUUCUGUGUGACUAUAUAUAAAUGACCUCAAGUUGAAAGUUAUAUUUAAAUGAGAAGCAGGGCUUAAAAGUUUGGAAAAUUUGCAGCCUGGCCAAGUGGUCAAAAAGAAAAGCUGAUUUUCAGUGGGAAAAUUCAAGAAGGCUUCAGAAAUUUUCAUAAAAUGGAGCCCAGUGCUAAUAGCUAAGACAAUGUUUAAAAGGCCUUGAAGCCAUUUCAGAGACCUUUGCAGCAGAGCUUGCUGUCAGAGUCCCCGAGUUCUAGGACCCAAGAAUGCUUUCCUGGGUCAGUCCCAUGGGCGCGCUGCUGUAUCCGUCCUCAGGACACUGCUGCCUGCAUCCCUGCAGCUCCAGCUCCAGCUCCAGCUCCAGCCAUCGCUGAAAGAUGCACAGGUACAGCUUGCAUCACCGCUUCAGGUGUGCAAGCUUCAAACCUUGGUGGCUUCCACAUAGCCAGCAGGUGCACAGAGCACAAAACUAGAGGCUUUGGAGCCUUUGUCUAGACUCCAGAGUAUGUACGGGAACACCUGGGUGUUCAGGCAGAAGCUUUUCUAAGAGGCAGAGCCUCAUGGGAAACCUUUACUGGGGCAGUACAGAAGGAACAUAUAGGGUUGGAGCCCCCAAACAGGAAUGCACCAUUUUCCAGACCCCAGAUUCAUGGACCCACCAACUGCUGGCACCCUCAGUGUGGAAAAGCCACAGGCACCCAACACCAGCCCAGCCCAUGAGGGCACCUGUGGGGGAUAGACCC
rnacentral:lncRNA from 1 species